GCCUUCGUGGAUCAUGGGAGAUCGCCUCGAUUGCCCAUUAAAAGGGAAGACGAUACUGAGGAGCGGAGGUUCGAAUCCUCUCGAAGACA